rnacentral:rRNA from 1 species
GACGAACGCUGGCGGCGUGCUUAACACAUGCAAGUCGAACGGAAAGGCCCCCUUGUGGGGUACUCGAGUGGCGAACGAGUGAGUAACACGUGAGUAACCUACCCUUGACUUUGGGAUAACUUCAGGAAACUGGGGCUAAUACCGGAUAGGAGCUCCUGCUGCAUGGUGGGGGUUGGAAAGUUUCGGCGGUUGGGGAUGGACUCGCGGCUUAUCAGCUUGUUGGUGGGGUAGUGGCUCACCAAGGCUUUGACGGGUAGCCGGCCUGAGAGGGUGACCGGCCACAUUGGGACUGAGAUACGGCCCAGACUCCUACGGGAGGCAGCAGUGGGGAAUAUUGCACAAUGGGCGGAAGCCUGAUGCAGCAACGCCGCGUGCGGGAUGACGGCCUUCGGGUUGUAAACCGCUUUCGCCUGUGACGAAGCGUGAGUGACGGUAAUGGGUAAAGAAGCACCGGCUAACUACGUG